rfam:Oryza glumipatula chromosome 9, whole genome shotgun sequence.
AUAGAAUAUAGUUUUGUAUUGUUUAUUCAACGUUUGACCAUCCAUCUUAUUUAAAAAAAUUUUAUGAUUAAUUUUUAUUAUUAUUAGAUGAUAAUAUAUGAAUAAUGCUUUAUCUGUGACUUUUUUUUUUAAUUUUUUCAUAAAAUUUUCAAAUAAGACGAACGGUUAAACGUUGGACACGAAAACUCACAACUGCACUUCAA